CCUACGGGGGGCAGCAGUGGGGAAUAUUGCACAAUGGGCGAAAGCCUGAUGCAGCAACGUCGCGUGAGCGAUGAAGGCCUUCGGGUUGUAAAGCUCUGUUCUCAAGGAAGAUAAUGACGGUACUUGAGGAGGAAGCCCCGGUUAACUACGUGUCAGCAGCCGCGGUAAUACGUAGGGGGCGAGCGUUAUUCGGAAUUACUGGGGGUAAAGGGUGCGUAGGUGGUUUUUUAAGUCAGAGGUAAAAGGCUAGGGCUCAACCGUAGUAAGACGUUGAAACUGGGGAACUUGAGUGCAGGAGAGGAAUGUGGAAUGCCUGGUGUAGCGGUGAAAUGCAUAGAUAUUAGGAAGAACACCAGUUGCGAAGGCAGCUCUCUGGAGUGUAACUGACGCUGAGGCACGAAAGCGUGGGGAGCGAACAGGAUUAGAUACCCCUGUAGUC
rnacentral:rRNA from 1 species